UCUAUUUUGAUAAAUUUGGUGCAAAAUUACACUUGUAAAGUUCUUACUUACAAUGGUGUGCCACAUAAGUAACGUUUAUUCUCAUCCACUUACUAGUCCUCUUCAUGAUCAUCAUUAAUGGAUAAAAGAGGUGUAAUGGCAUUGAAGAGAGGGUGCAGUAACGUGCAAAUGUUUUGUCUCGGACAGGACAGCAGGGCCCAACCAGGAAAACCACAUCUAAGAGAACAGGAAAUUAUCGUUAACAAGACAAGGAGAACCAACUAUAAUUUUGUGUACCAAAUUAAAACUACAUAUGAACAAAGAGAAAAUAAAAAACCUAGUACAUUCCAGAAUGUUAUAGAACUUUGAUCUGAUCAAUAAAAGCAUAUGUCUAUCGAAUUGUUCAUUAUUAUAUGACCUUGAACCUAGCUAACCAAUCAUCCUUAUCGUUUUAAGAUUAAAGAAAUGCAAGUUGCCUAUGGUAGUGGUGGUUGGACUCCC
rnacentral:lncRNA from 1 species